rnacentral:lncRNA from 1 species
GCAUUCUGCAAGGGCAGCUGACUGAACUGCCCAUUACAGAAGUAAAUUGAGCAAAGCCUCCAAACCUACUUGUGUGUAAUUGUUUUUGUAUUUCUGCUUAGAACCCAACGGUUACCUCCCACAGGCGGGAGAGGUAGGAUUUUCACUGCUGUGCAGGAAACUGCAAUCGUUGAUAUGGUCAUCAGAAACAAUGGCAUAAAACUGACAGAGAUUCGGGACAGAGUGUUGGCAGACAACAUUACAUUUGGAAAUAUUCACAAUGUAAGCAUAACAACUAUUUCUAGAGUCCUGAAACAACAUCAAGUCAGGAUGAAGCAGUUGUACACUGUCCCCUUUGAGAGGAACUCUGAACGAGUCAAGCAACUCAGGAACCAAUAUGUCCAGAUAGUCAUGGAGAUUGAAGCCAGACAAACACCACACAUAUUCAUCUUUGUGGAUGAGGCUGGUUUCAACCUGGCCAAAACACGACUGCGAGGAAGGAAUGUGAUUGGGAAAAGAGACACUGUGGAUGUCCCGGGCCAGAGGGGUGCCAACAUCACAAUGUGUGCAGCAAUAUCCUCUGAUGGAUUGCUGUUACACAAACCGCUAAUUUGGCCAUACAACACCGAGUGUCUCAUUUCAUUCCUGGGUGACCUCUAUGGAAGGGUUGUGCCAGGUGAGGAAAGGGUUGCAAUGAGGCGAAAUCGGACAACGUUUGUAAUUGUAUGGGACAAUGUGGCAUUUCACCACACCCGUGCAGUCACAGAGUGGUUUGCAGCCCUUCCCAGGAUGGUGUCACUUUUCCUGCCACCUUACUCUCCAUUCCUCAACCCCAUAGAGACCUGAGCCCUAGGACCAUGCCUCAGGACUACCUGACAUGAUGACUCCUUGCUGUCCCCAGUCCACCUGGCCGUGCUGCUGCUCCAGUUUCAACUGUUCUGCCUGCGGCUAUGGAACCCUGACCUGUUCACCGGACGUGCUACCUGUCCCAGACCUGCUGUUUUCAACUCUCUAGAGACAGCAGGAGUGGUAGAAAUACUCUCAAUGAUCGGCUAUGAAAAGCCAACUAACAUUUACUCUUGAGGUGCUGACUUGUUGCACUCUCGACAACUGUGAUUAUUAUUAUUUGACCAUGCUGGUCAUUUAUGAACAUUUGAACAUCUUGGCCAUGUUCUGUUAUAAUCUCCACCCGGCACAGCCAGAAGAGGACUGGCCACCCCUCAUAGCCUGGUUCCUCUCUAGGUUUCUUCCAAGGUUUUGGCCUUUCUAGGGAGUUUUUCCUAGCCACCGUGCUUCUACACCUGCAUUGCUUGCUGUUUGGGGUUUUAGGCUGGGUUUCUGUACAGCACUUUGAGAUAUCAGCUGAUGUAAGAAGGGCUAUAUAAAUACAUUUGAUUUGAUUUGAUGAUAUACCACACCUCCUCUGGCCUUAUUGCUUCAUUCUUGUGAGUUGUUUCAGGGUGGCUGUAUGGUACAAGAGGAAGGCAUGAGCUACCCCAGAAACAGGCAGUAUUGAUAGAACAUUUAGCAACGCUGCUAAUCUGAAUAUCAGACACACACACGGUUGAAUAAGUGGCACAGAAAGCUGUUUAUAUGUUGAAAGAGUCUGGUGUUUGAGUGGUGGAAGGGGUCGACUGUAGGGGUUUGAGGGGGAGGUUCAGGGUUACAGCCAGGGAUAUAAUUUAAUUCCCUCAGCUUCAGCAGUGAAAUACCUUGCUUGUGUAAAUCACCCGGAGGGACAACAGAGGUCAUGAAGGUGACACCUAUGAGGCACUAAGGGUUCAUAAUGGAAAGAUGUGGCUGGACACACUGUCUCUGGGUACAUUUUUACCCAUAACACAUUGCUCUCAUGUACCCUUUGGUAAUCCCCUCUGAUUCGAAUGCGCUGCAGAACCUCGACUACUAAUCCAUCAGACCAGGGCGACAGGUGGUUUGGUUAGAGAGUUGGGCCAGUAACCGAAAGGUUGCUGGGUUGAAUCCCCGAGCUGACAAGGUAAAACAUCUGUUGUUCUGCCCCUGAACAAGGCAGAUAACCCACUGUUCCCCGGUAGGCUGACAUUGUAAAUAAGAAUUUGUUCUUAACUGACUUGCCUAGUUAAAUAAAAAAUAAAUACAAAAGGUUUCUGUGUUGUGACAGAGGCUUACUGCGUCUUAUUUUGAUUAAAGUACAUUUAUAUUAACAGAGAGA